CUAAAAAUAUUAAAAUAAAAGAAAUGACCGUUUUACGAAGCAGAAACUGGUGCGAAAGUGGAUGGUUUUCAACGUAGAAUCGUAAUUUGGAAAAAUGUUUGGAAAACGAGGUAGAUGGUAGGUGUUGGAGAAAGAAAAACAGAGAGAAACAGGCUGUUAGCGUCUAAUGAAUGGAUCGCGACGAGUGAUCUAUUCCGCGUCUAGGAUCGUCGUAGAUCUCGGGCUGCCACGCCCGGACGCGACAGAAUUUAAAGCGUCUAUUUAUAAAGAGUGAACGAACGGCAUGGUACCGGGCAACGUUAAAACACAUCGGGUCAGAACGCGAACGUAAACGUGCGAUAUGCGUGCACAUUGUGCUGAUCCGGUUAAUUCUGGGAUGGAGCAAAGAGGAGCAAAAAAGCCAGGAGCGAGUGAUUAUUAGCAUCAGGCACCCAAACGAUUAUAUCCGCCACUGGUUACAGUAUGGAUUUCCAGAUCCUCGUCAAGAAGCGAGUUACAUAGCGAACAAGCAUCUUCUUUAACGUGAUUCUUUAACGUCCCUCCACGUAACGACGUUUUCGAGUAGCGACCACUUUCAAAUGGACAGAAUUAACGUAUCCAGUUGACAACAACGUCAAGAGGCAACAACAUGGCGGCAAGUAAUAAUAAUUGGCGGAAGCGAAGAGACAGAGAAGAGAAGAAUUUGAAAGCCGACGCCCAACGUUAAUCCCGUUUCAGUGGAAAGAAAGGCGCAUCGGGAAAUGAGAAAAGUCGGGAGAGGAAGCAAUUGCGACUGGUUUUUCAUGGUAUUCGUGAUUAUUCGGUGGAAAGGAACAAAAGAAGAGGCAAUACCGGUGGAUGAUGCGCCAUGGCACAAGGCCCGUGUGCCAUUCGUUUCUCCGUGCCUGUGCAUCGUUCCUCUUGUUGCGCUAGAACGGUUGACAUAUUUCUUUUAGCGGUACACAGAGACGAGAAGAGAAGCCUAGCCGACGUUUCUCCUCCAUUCUUCUUCUAUUCCUUUGGCCUAGCAACGCCAGUCAUUACCAGCGCCGCCAUCAACCACACGCUGUCAUUGUCUGGACGCACUUUGCCGAUGCACGCGACAACGUUCGUUUGAAACGCGACUUUAAUUGCGUAACACCCGGCCGCCUGUCCGUUUUCACAGCGAAACGAAUUAAGACAACGAUCACGUGUACCCCAUCGUUCACCGAGAACAGUUUUCAUGCCAUUCGUGACGCUCUAAAAUAGUUCAUCUCUGUCCGAGGCAAAUUGGAAAGCAAAGGAACGAACUUGUUGCGCUUUGUUUCGUUUUAAAGUGGAUUUGUCGAGGCUGCUUUAUAGAAAAUGAUAAAAGAUCACGUGAUGUAUCGAUCGCUUGCAAUAAAAAAGACAUCGCCUAUUAUAUGUACUUGGCUUUACUCCUGUGUGUAUUUAUAAUUCAACUUCUGAUAUUUUCGGGUGUAUAUAUGUAUAUGUAUGAAAAUAUAGUAAUAUAGGUUCGUUAUUUUAUAAAUCGUUCAUUAUUUUGGAGAAACUGACGCAGAAGGAAAAACAGAAAGUAAUUACUAUACGGACGUGCAUUGUGCGUCACAGAGCCGUGUGACCCAGAAAUACAAAUAUUAAAUCAAAGUUGAAGAACCACUUACUAAUUGACGACUAAAGUAUAAAACACGUGCCGGAGAGAUUAAAAUGAACGAUAUGCUAAACAGAAUAUGUAUAGUACAAAGAAAAUGAAAACGAGUCUUUGUUCAUACACCUCGUAAAGGAACAUUCAAAAAGAUUCUUAAAAAUACAUCGCAGUGAAUCUAGGAAAUUUCCAAGAAGAAUUAUAAACCGGUCACUUUAACCACUCUGCUAGUUCUAACAAUAUCAGGUUCAUUUACCGCGAAACCCUAACUGCUCGUUCGCGUUCAACGAUAUUUCACGAGGGCGCUCACGCCCCUUCUUCCACUCCAGCUUGCUUGCACGUUUUCAGAGAUUUAGAGAAACGCAUGGCGUCGAUUCGGACGCACGUGAGUCACCGCCUCGAUGCAGCGUGCACACGCAUCUUGGAAAGAAAGAGUCAUUUAGGAAAUUGACCGACAGAUCGAUAAGUAAGACGAUCUCUAGGGAGCAACGAGGAAGGGCGUACUCGUGAUAACAGCAAAUUAAAUUAGAGACCGGUUUAUCGCAGUGUUGCGACCGAUACCAGCAUCGAACCAGCUUACGAACUUCCAGUCCAUAUUGGCUAAGAUUAAAUUUCUUUCUAAAAUACCGUGUGAAUCUGACAAAACUUUUCUUCUCUUCGCUCCACUAUCGGAAUCCGUAUACGUAGAGAUAUAAACUUGACUCAAAUUAUUUUAUUUUUAGCAUUUUUCCUAAUAAUUCAUUGGCAAUAUUUUUGAACGAUUUAGACGAGGAUUGA